rnacentral:tRNA from 1 species
GGAAGGGUGGCAGAGUUGGUCGAUUGCGCCGGUCUUGAAAACCGGAGAUGGGCAACCAUCCGUGGGUUCGAAUCCUACCCCUUCCG